CGUGAGGGGCCGUGCGGGACGGCUGCUCCGGCCGGGCCUCCCGCUCCGCUGUGCUCCGCCCCCGCGCAGCCCCGGCACAGGGGCGCCGGCCAGCAUCCCCCUGCAUCUCUUCAGCUUUGGCAGAGCCGCGUGUCUUCCCGCUGUCUCAACCCGAAAUAUGCGGCCGUCCUGCCUUCUCCCUCGGUCUCCUUCUUAGGAAUGUGCGCAGCAAAAAGCCAGUCUCCCGGGACUGUUCCCCCUUUUUGGUCUUUGCUGGGACAACCAGCCGUGGGGGGACGCUUUCCCCGGCUCUGCGGCCAAAGGCAGGCGGCCACCCGGCAGCCCGACCUCCUUGAGCGCUGCUGAGAGGGGCCUGGUGUCCUGAGCCAGUCAGCACCUGUGAAACCUCGAGGUCCAUGGUUCUUUGGUAUGUUGUUAUUCCCUGAAAGCCUUGAUAGGCUGAGCAGGAUGAUCCACAGUAACACUGCAGAGAAGAUCCCAUUCUCACAGAAGAAAAUGGUCCCCACAGGAGAAUGAAGAGGAAGCAGAGGGACAACAUCUAGACUUAACAAGCUCUGAGACAUCACUGUGUUUUCUGUGUUAAAAUAAAAGGAUCUAGGAAUUUCUAUUUAUGGUGAAUUAAGUGGGGUACUCUCCUUGGUAAUGAUGUUAAAAGGGCAGAGACUGGUCUUAAUUCUAAAUAAUAGGCACUGUGUCUAGAAUGUACAUCUAACUAUCUUACUGUGUUUACAUACUUCUACUCACCAUGGUUUUCCGAUCACUGUUAGCCAAGAACUCAAAAAAGCAAAACUCAUCUUGCUGAAUCACCACUGACUUUAAUUAGAAAUUAAAUUAAUUAAUUAAUACAUUAGAAAGGAAACUGUCCUACACCGUGACUAUACAGCAAAUAGCUCUAAAAGACUAAGCACAAGUGUAACCAGUUUUAAUUCUCACUGACCACAAGGGUUUCCAAUCAUUCCAUACACCUCACCUAUUAAGGGGACCCCAAGUUCAUAGAAAACCACCUCAGUGCUGAGAAUCUCUGUCAACAAUGUUUUCCAUGCUGACAGUGAUGCCUUGGGAGGCUGCCUAGAACAGAAGCUAGACAGAGUUAAAGGAAUAAAGCAGGUAUUUAUUCAAAAGGCCUUCACAGGAUACGCCUUGGGCAGUGCAGGAGCCCGGCUGUGGCUACACCCAAGAUGGACGACCUGUCAUGAGUU